AUUCACUAUCCCUAUUGAAAUUACCUGUAUGUAAAGGUUGACUGGAAUCCAUACGUUAAGUCACUUUAUUGGUGGAAGUGUGUGAGAUAAAAUGCAGCGCACAUUUUAUUUGUAAAAACAUCAUGGAUACAAUUCUAGAUCUUAAUACACAAGCUCUAAUUCUUUUCCUGAACCUCUACAUAUUUAUCUAAUGUUUAUGCCCAUCAUUUAAAAGUACAUGUACUCAAAGCUGCAUUAUCUCAUUAAGGAACAUUGUAACACCCUACUCUAGUAAAAGGUAUUAACAUAGAAACAUAGAAAACCUACAGCACAAUACAAAGUUGUGCCAAACAUGUCCCUACCUUAGAAAUUACUAGACUUCCCUAUAGCCCUCUAUUUUUCUAAGCUCCAUGUACCUGUCCAGAAGUCUCUUAAAAGACCCUAUCAUAUCCGUCUCCAUCACCGUCGUUGGCAGCCCAUUCCACGCACUCACCAUUUUCUGAGUAAAAAAACUUACCCCAACCUCAUUUCUGUACCUACUCCCCAGCACCUUAAACCUGUGUCCUCUUGUGGCAACCAUUUCAGCCCUGGGAAAAAGUCUUUGACUAUCCACAUGAUCAAUGCCUCUCAUCUUAUACACCUCUAUCACGUCACUUGUCAUUCUCCAUUGCUCAAAGGAGAAAAAGCCAAGUUCACUCAACCUAUUCUCAUAAGGCAUGCUUCCCCAAUCCAGGCAACAUCCUUGUAAAUCUCUUCUGCACCCUUUCUAUGGUUUCUAUAUCCUUCCUGUAGUGAGGCGAACAGAACUGAGCACAGUACUCCAAGUGGGGUCUGACCAGGGUCCUAUAUAGCUGCAACCUUGCCUCUCGGCUCCUAAAUCCAAUUCCACGAUUAAUGAAGGUCAAUACACCAUAUGCCUUCCUAACCACAGCAUCAACCUGCGCAGCUGCUUUGAGUGUCCUAUGGACUCAGACCCCCAAGAUCCCUCUGAUCCUCCAUACUGCCAAGAGUCUUACCAUUAAUACUACAUUCUGCCAUCAUAUUUGACCUACCAAAAUGAUUCACUUCACACUUAUCUGGGUUGAACUCCAUCUGCCACUUCUCAGCCCAGUUUUGCAUCCUUUCAUUGUCCCGCUGUAACCUCUGACAGCCCUCCACACUAUCCACAACACCACCAACCUUUGUGUCAUCAGCAAACUUACUAACUGAUCCCUCCACUUUCUCAUCCAGGUCAUUUAUAAAAAUCACGAAGAGUAAGGGUCCCAGAACAGAUCCCUGAGGCACACCACUGGUCACUGACCACCAUGCAGAACAUGACCCGUCUACAACCAGUCUUUGCCUUCUGUGGGCAAGCCAGUUCUAGAUCCACAAAGCAAUGUCCCCUUGGAUCCCAUGCCUCCUUACUUUCUUGAUAAGCCUUGCAUUGGGUACCUUAUCAAAUGCCUUGCUGAAAUCCAUAUUAAAAUACAUCCUGCAGUCAAUUUGUUUUACUUUACAAUUUGUUUUAGUCAAAUUGACUAUUUUCCUGAAAGAUAAAGCCAGACUGAUCUUUGAUUGGUAGUUAAAACCAAUUAGCAGACAAAUCAUAAAAAUUCUAACCCUGAGGAGUAUCACUUUUCAAAUAAAAAAAAUUAGGUGACCUAGUUAAAGCAGUAUAACUUCGAUCUUGAAGGCUACAUCUUUAUGGUUUAUGUUCUCUAUGGUGUUUGUCACAGAGAAGCUCAUAAUAAACAUCUCCCUCCUUGUUGUCAAAGAGCCUCCCCUCCAGUUUCCGUUUAGAUUUCACCCAUCAAGAGGUGCAAUAAACAUGACAUAACAACCACAUGACCAUUCCCGAAGUAAUACUGGGUAUAAUAACUACCACAUGAGGCCUUUUUCAACUUCCCAAAAGUCACUCAGCUCUGUCAACCAAGGCCAGUUGAGAAGAAUCCUCAUGUUUGGCUGCUCUCAGAUGAUCAUCUCUGUUUUUAAUUCAGGUACACCUUGUGCAAGCCAUUAUUCCAAGUCAGGUGAAAGGUCUUCAUUGUAGCGUCAAUUGUUCAUUUCCCUACUGAGCUUCUCCAGGCUUUUGUUUAUUAUUCCAAGCAGCAAGUCCAUAUUCCCUGCUGUAUGUUCACUAUUCACUAUUGCUGUAAGUUCACAUUCCCUGCUGUUCUGCCUUCCUUAUGUAGCCCCCGGUAAGCCUCAGGCUCGCUCAGCUCGCUUCCGUCUAGGGCAGGGGUGUCAAACUCAUUUUAGGUCAUGGGCCGGAUUGGGCAAAAUGCAGCUUCAUGCGGGCCGGAUCAGUUGGGCGCGUGCGAACGCAGCUUUCAUUGCCUCCGUUUUUUCAGCCUGUUCUCAUGUGUCUCAGUCUCUGCUAUAACUACAAAGCGUUUCACUUCAAAAUGAUCUCACGGGCCGGAUAUAAUUGUAUGCCGGGCCGGAUAUGGCCCGCGGGCCUUGAGUUUGACACCUAUGGUCUAGGGGGAGCAGCCUUUGGCCCCGCAAAUGCUGUGUGAUGUCUCCACCCCGCUAAAUAACAAGACAGUACACCAUAUGCGAUUAAAUGAUUACACUUUAUAGAUCUUACUGGAACUAUGUACUAAUAGAGAUACAAUAUAAAAGGAAAAGUAAAAGGUGCCAAACUUAUCAAAGUUCAAACCACUUUGUGCACAACCGUUGGAGCUCAGUUAAUGAAGUCUUCUUGCCACCAUUCGAUCCCCUCCGACCUCCUCGACCCGCCACCUGGGACCAACAACGGUGGUCAACCAGACAGUCCGCAUGAAUCUGUCCUCGUCUCCUCUCCACGCCGAAAACCCUGGGCCUCGGACCCCCACUCGGGGUCCGUUCCGUCGCCCAGCUUACAACAUUGCAUCUUCUCCCUCUAACCCCUUUGCGCCAUCUCCUCAAAAGUCCGCGCAACACUAGCUUACAGACCCACAAGAAAGAAUAACAGCUAUCCCAAUUGGUUAACAAAUUAAUACAAUUCUCAUUUUCAGCAAUUAUAACCCAAACAAUCUGCAAGAGAAAGCACUCUCUCACCAGUUAACAUAACAAAGAAGCAUUUUUACUUUUAACGUAACAAAGAAGCCAUUUUAUUAGCCUUAACAGUAAUAUAAAAGAAACCCCUUACACUUAAUAGAGCAUUGAACAGCCCUGCAACACAUAGCCCACUCAAGUGGGACUAAUCUACAGCACAUAUAAGAAGUGAUUCAAUCUUUAGUUAUAUUCACUGCAGAAUCAAUGUCUCUCUUCGCAUAGAAUCAUUGUCCAGAUUCUUGAUUAGUCAGGGCAUGAAGGGUUAUAGGGAGAAGACAAGAGAGUGUGGCAGAGAGGGAAAUAAAUCAGCCAUGGCGAAAUGGUAGAGCAGAUUCAAUUGGCUGAAUGGUCUGAUUCUGCCUCUAUAAUCUUAUGAUCAUAUGGUCUUUCCAUCCUCUAUUAUUGAGGCCACAAGGAAGCCAUACCAGAGGAUGUUCCCUGCACUGAACAUGGACAAAUUGCAUUUCCCUACCCACCUGUGUGAGCUAUCCAACUCAGGACACACACCCAGCCCCCUCUGGCACUAAAGGCCCAUGAUGAGAUGCUAGAAAACCUAGCAUGCUGGAAUCAUGCUUUCAGCAAAAGUACCAAUUGAGAUUUCCAGUGUGAAAACCUAGUUGCUGAUCAUCCAAGAAAAAAGAUUGAAGAUUAAAACUUCAUUCCUGGGUAAAGCUCAUAGAUUGCCAAGAAACAGUGAUCCCUCACUUUCUGAAUGCUCCUUUGAUGUGGACUACCUUUAGUGAACACGUCAAUGCACUAGACAGCUAUCAACUUUGCCAUUUCUGCAAAACCAUCCAAAUCUAUUGGCCUGAUAUGCAAAUAAUCAUCAACUUUGCUAUCCAACGUUCCUGGUUAUAGUUGUACUCGGUUUGACCAUUUUGAAUGGGGAAAGGGUAUCGGAGAGGAGGAAAAGCUGGAAAGUUCUCAAUCGAAAAUUUUCAUUGUCUAUUUCAUUUCAUAGAUGCUGCUAGGCCUGCUGAGUUCCUCCAGCGCCGCUUGUUGCUGCAGAUUCCAGUAUCUGCAUUCUCUUGUAUGGCCUAUUCUAGGGUUUUGCACCUGAACACCUAAGACAAAGGGGAUUAUUACGAUUUUCCAGCUUGAAUUUGUCUUCCUUUAUGGAAGUACCUUCACAGCCAAUCUUCUACACCUAUCCAAAAUUGGGGACUCCAGAUCUGUUUGUUUGUAUUUUAUUUAGAGAAACAGCAGUCACAAACCCUUCCAGCCCUACGAGUGUGUACUGCCCAAUUACACCAUGUGACCAAUGAACCCAGUAACCCAUGCCUCUCUGGACUGUGGGAGGAAACCAGAGCACCUGGAGGAAACCUAUGUAGUCAUGGAGAGAACAUACAAACUCUUUAUAGACUAAUCACUAUCCACAUUUUUUAAAAUUUGAAAAUAGUAGCAUUCUCUUCUCUGAGCCAGAGUCUCCCAGGUUGAACCCCAUUCCAGUAAUUCAAACACAAAGGUCUGAAGUGAUGCUGCAUUACAGUACAAAGGGAAGAUUGCAAUGUUACUGAUGAUUGGCUCCAACCUCCAAAAACCAACCUUCCUAAAUAUUUUAAUGUUUCCUACACUUGUUAGCCAUUUUCAGGUGCUCAUUUAAUGAAAUUGUUGUUUUGUUCUGUAAAUUCUAAUUCUCUGCACUUAUUUUACACCCGGGAGAUUCCCAGCCUGGAGUUCAUGGACCCCUCAGUUAAUAGAACAUAGAACAAUACAGCAAAGUACAGGCUCUUCGGCCCACAAUGUUGUGCCGACCCUUAAACCCUGCCUGCCAUGUAACCCCCCACCUUAAAUUCCUCCAUAUACCUGUCUAGUAAUCUCUUAGAUUUCACUAGUGUAUCUACCUCCACCACUGACUCAGGCAGUGCAUUCCACGCACCAACCACUUGCUGAGUGAAAAACCUUCCUCUAAUAUCCCCCUUGAACUUUCCUCCCCUUACCUUAAAGCCAUGUCCUCUUGUAUUGAGCAGUGGUGCCCUGGGGAAGAGGUGCUGGCUGUCCACUCUAUCUAAUAAUGGUAAUAGUCCAUUGCAUUAAAAAAUCUGUUUUACAGGGAAUUUUUACAGCAAUCCGGAGAUGAACAUUUUUCUUUAGAAACCAGAAUUCUAGGCGUACCAAUGUGUUAGCAAACUGUGCUGCCAUUUUGUCACAGUGUUUUAUAUUAAUAGGUAUGUACUUGUGUUUUUUUUGUGAUAAAUGAGAGAAGGGAAGAAAUCACUUUAAUGGGCAAUAAAAUUAUCCAUUCUUUAGGGGCUGAUUUUUGAGUUUAAUGAUGAAGAAACUCUUGGCAUUUGCUGCAUUGUACCAUAUAAAUGAUUAGAUUUCUGUGACUGCACCAGUAACAAUAAGCCACGAACUACUGGAGCAGACUGUGUGAUUUUUAGGGGCAAAGGUAGGUUUUGCUUCAGUGACUUGACAACAAUUAGAACUGCCAACAGUUUCCUCUAAAUAUUAAGCAGAUCGUGAUUAUGUACUAAUCAAUCAUUACUACACAGCAAACUUGUGCCCUAGAAAAAAAUACUCCUGAAAAUAAAUUUUAAUUCCCUAGGGUAAGCAGUAGCUUCAUGGAUUUGCAUUUUUUAUGUAUAACUUAGCUCUGAUCUUUGAGGUUUUGCUACAAGCUUGCUUUUUUUGCUGAUGAAACAUUGAUUGCAAAUUCCCCUCCAUAGAUGCUGCCAGACUUGCUGAGUUUCUCCAGCAGUUUGUGUGUGCUGCUUGUAUUGCUGACUACUUUUUCAGAAAAAGAAUAUUUAUUACUAACUAAAAAUUAUUGUCUUUUCUCUUUGAUUAGAAGGGGUUCAAAAUUCUUCUGUGUUAAUGGCUGUCCUGCCAUCUCAAUGAAUCACCAUUUCAAGAUGUUGGGAAUCUCUGUCUGUAGCCAGUGUUGGAAAAGGGGCAGGUUCAACCAGUGGUGGCAGCAAGAGUUGGGAUGAAUGCUGGUGACUGUCAAGUCCAAGCCAGUGUGAUUAAACUGUUAAGUUUGAGCCCAGGAUUUUUAAACUACUUAAUGAAUUGCAUAUUGUGGGGCUGUUUUUUAAAUUUUUGAAUCGACUGUUAAUCUUUACCCAUUUCUUCACAAGUCAAUGAUUACGUAGCUUGCAUUUCUAUCCAUUGCAAAUUUGUUGGGACCUUUAAUGUUUGCAGCAUCUCCAGAAUCAUAAUAAUCGCAAAUUAUUUCGUGUAAAUCUUUUGUUUGAGUUCAACUUCUUGUCCAAAUGAAAAGAAAGUCCCAAUGAUAGCUGGCAUGAAGCAGUUGAACAAUAUUAAUAUGUGGAUUAUAUGCUUCAUGGAAUUUACAACACAUUUCAAACGUCUGGCCAACAUUUCAAAGCUAAUGUUUAAGCUCCAGGUAAACAACCUCCAGCUCUGUUUUAACUUGCCCUGUCACGAUCUCUAUCUAAUCCACCCUGCCUUCCUGACACCAUCCUAAAAUGCAUCCAUACCAUUUUCCACAACUACUCCUUAAUAGUUGUGUUCCAACUGAAUUUCUGAAUUUUUGUUUUUGUAAAUUUUAUAUUUUCUCUGGUAAAGUUUAAAUAUUCAUGGAAAUACAAGCACAUUAGGGACUUUCGGUAAUUUAUCAUGGAUUACCGUACAGAAGGAAUAUUUUAAAACCGAUGUAUUUACGUAGUGCGUACCAAGUCACUUUGCAAGACUGUUAUCAAUGACAUUGAAGCACUAAAUAGGGGCUCACAACCAAGCCCUCGGGAGUUUGAGAGAUUUGGAGAGGGAAUUCCAAGUCUUAAGGAUAUAAUUGAAUUUAUGAUAUAAUUAAACCUUGGGAUUAUUAAUGUGUGAGAUUAGAGGAGGAUUGGUAACCAAGGGUUAUUGAUAUGAAGGUGAUUAUAAAGGGAGGGCUGCAUUAACAGAAGAAAUUGGAAUACGAAUUUUAAACUGUUCCUUAACCUCAUGCUAAUGCAUAUUGUUUGUCAAGUCACUUUUAUUGUUAUUUCGACCAUAACUGCUGGUACAGUACAUCGUAAAAGUGAGACAAUGUUUUUCAGGACCAUGAUGUUACAUGACACAGUACAAAAACUAGACUGAACUACGUAAAAAAAACAACACAGAGAAAGCUACACUAGACUACAGACCUACACAGGACUGCAUAAAGUGCACAAAAACAGUGCAGACAUUACAAUAAGUAAUAAACAGGACAGUAGGGCAAGGUGUCAGUCCAGGCCUUGGGUAUUGAGGAGUCUGAUAGCUCGGGGGAAGGAACUGUUACAUAAUCUGGUCGUGAGAGCCCGAAUGCUUCAGAGCGUUUUCCCAGACGGCAGGAGGGAGAAGAGAUUGUAUGAGGGGUGCGUGGGGUCCUUCAUAAUGCUGUUUGCUUUGCGGAUGCAACAUGUAGUGUAAAUAUUCGUGAUGGUGGGAAGAGAGACCCUGAUGAUCUUCUCAGCUGACCUCACUAUCCGCUGCAGGGUCUUGCGAUCCGAGAUGGUGCAAUUUCCAAACCAGGCAGUGAUGCAGCUGCUCAGGAUGGUCAAGGUGUUGAUAGAUAAAUGAACUUUUAUACAAGUUUAGUCAUGGUCUCAAGUUCAUGGAGGAUGUAAUUGUGGAACCUUGUCUAAUUCUAUGUUGGAAUACUCAGUUGUGCGGGUGACAUAAUUAGAGCUUCGGCAUCAUUUGAACCGAGGCAGGUUAAAAGAAAGGUAAUGAUAUAGAAGUACAACUAAGCACCCAUGUUGAUGGUCUAGAUGUGUGGUCACUGCACUGGAAAAGCUACUGAGCUAAAAGUCCAAGGUGUCCUCAGAAGGCAGUGGAGGCCAAUUCUCUGGAUGCUUUCAAGAAGGAGUUAGAUAGAGCUCUUAAAGAUAAGAGUCAAGGGAUAUGGGGAGAAGGCAGGAACGGGUUACUGAUUGUGAAUGAUCAGCCAUGAUCACAUUGAAUGGUGGUGCUGGCUCGAAGGGCCGAAUGGCCUACUCCUGCACCUAUUGUCUAUUCUUGUCUUUUUCAACCUCCCAUUGGCUAACGUGUCCCUGUGUCAGUGGUAAUGGUAUGAAGUUUGUGAAGAGGAUCAAUGUCAAACGUGAGAAAAUCUGCAAAUGCUAGAAAUCCAAAGCAACACACAAAAUGGAGGAAUUCAGCAGACCAGGCAGGAUCUAUGGAAAAGAGUAAAUAGUUGACAUUUUGGGCUGAGACCCUUCAGGACUGGAAAGAAAGGAGAGAAGUCAGAGUAAGAAGGUGGGGGAAGAGGGAAGGAGAAGUACAAGGUGGUAGGUGAUAGGUGAAAUUAGGAGAGGAGGAAGGGGUGAAGUAAAGAGCUGGGAAGUUGAUUGGUGAACAAAAUAAAGGGUUGGAGGAGGGGGAAUUUGAUGGGAAAGGAUUGAAGAUCAUGGAAGAAAGGGAAGGGGAGGAGCACCAGAGGAAGGUAGGGAGAUAAGGUGAGAGAAGAAAACAGGAAUGGACUUUAUUUCUUAAAUCCUUGAUAUGCAUGAGGAGUAAAAAAAAAUCUUUAUGUUAAGGCUCUGUCUGAAGGUGCAAUGUGCAAAUUAUAGUAAUUUGUAAUAAAUGGUAUGUACAACAGAACAUUCAAUAUAGCUUAGAAAUGCAAUUGUAUCAGAGUGAAUUAAUCAGUCUGAUGGCCUGGUGGACGAAGCUGUCUCAGAGCCUAUUGUUUCUGGCUUUAAUGCUGCAGUAGCUUUUCCCAGAUGGUAGCAGCUGGAAUAGUUUGUGGUUGGAGUGACUUGGGUCUUCAAUGAUCCUUCGGGCCCUUUUUACGCACUUGUGGCUGUUAAUGUCCUGAAUAGCCUGAAGUUCACAUCCAUAGAUGUGCUGGGCUGUCCGUACCACUCUCUGUAGAGUCCUGACAGAAGUACGUGGAUACUAUAGAGAGAGUGCAAAGGAGAUUUACAAGGAUGUUGCCUGGAUUAGAGGGCAUACCUUAUUAGAAUAGGAUUGAGUGAACUUGGCCUUUUCUCCUUGGAGCAACUGAGGAUGAGAGGUGACCUGAUAGAGGUGUAUAAGAUGAUGAGGGGCAUUGAUUGUGUGGAUAGCCAGAAGUAUUUUCUGAGGCUGAAAUGGCUAACAUGAGGGGGCCUAGUUUUAAGGUGCUUGGAAAUGGGUACUGAGGGGAUGCAGGGAUAAGUUUUUCACACAGACAGUGGUGGGUGCAUGGAAUGCACUGCUGACAGCGGUGGUGGAAGUGGAUACAAUAGGGUCUUUUAAAAGCCUCUUAGAUGAGUACGUAGAGCUAAGAAAAAUUAGAGGGCUAUGUGCUAGGGAAAUUCUAGGCCGUCUCUAGGGUAGGUUACAUGGUUGGCACAACAUAGUGGGCCGAAAGGCCUGUAAUAUGCUGUAAGUUUCUAUGUUCUAUGAUCUACAGUUCCCAUACCAGGCAAUGAUACAGCCAGUCAGGAUGCUCUCAAUUGAAAGUCCUUAGGACUUGGGGACUCAUGCCGAACUUCUUCAACGGUCUGAGGUGAAAGAGGCGCUGUUGUGCUUUUUUCUUCACACAGCCGGUAUAUACAGACCAAGUGAGGAAUUUGAAGCUGUUCACCCUCUCAACCCCAGAUCCAUUGAUGUCAAUAGGGGUGAGCCUAUCUCCAUUCCUCCUGUAGUGCACAACCAGCUCCUUUGAUUUUGCCACAUUGAGGGAGAGGUUUUCUUGACACCACUGUGUCAGGGUAAUGACUUCUUCUCUGAAGGCUGCCUCAUUAUUAUAUGAGAUGAGGUUAAUCAGUGUAGUAUCAUCUGCAAAUUCAGUUAGCAGAUUGGAGCUGUGGGUAGCAACACAGUCAUGGGUGUUCAGAGAGUAAAGGAGGGGGUUUAGGAUGAAACCAUGGGAGGAGGCACCUGUGUUGAGGGUCAGAGGAGCAGUGGUGAGGGAGCCCACUUUUACCACCAGCCUGACAGAUCUGACAGGAAGUCCAGGAUCCAGCUGCACAAGACAGGGUGAAGGCCGAAGAAUGGGGAAUUGUGAAGGAUGGGGGCGCGGGGAGGGUAGUUACCGGAAGUUCAAGGAAUUGACGUCUAUACCAUCAGGUUGGAGGCUAUCCAGACAGAAUAUAAGGUGUUGCUGCUGGAGCCUGCGUGUGGCCUCAAGAGGAUCAAUGCGUUUUUAUUCCCACAGUGUUUAAGUAGAGCAUAUUUCUCGAUAUCCACAAACAGUGUGACCAUUAGUAAGGUGUGCAAGAGCUGGGUGUUAUUAACAUUUUUUGGAUGGCUUCGCAUAGGGCAGCAUAAAGAAGAGAAAUAUGGAGCCAAAACUUUCUUCCUUGUAGAACACCAGCCCUGAUCAUAUUGAAGGCCAAAUGGCGGAUAAAAUGCCUAGGAGUUACUUUUUUUUUUCUUAUAAUAAGAUGUACUUGCAGUGCUGUGUUUAGACCGGGGGUCGGCAACCUGCGGCUCCCGAGCCAUUUGUGGCUCUUUCACCUCUGUGCUGCGGCUCCCUGUGGCUUUGGGAAAUAAUUGGUCAGUAUUUAAUUAAAAUGUAUUUUAUGUUAGUUUGUUAGCUUUUGAAAUGUAAUUAUGGUGAUCUUGUACAACCUAAGUGUAGCGACACAUUUCCUGCCACAUCCGAAACGGCUCACAAUUAGCCAGCAUUCCGGCUAAGGGAGAUAGCCUACGGGGGUUUGUGAGUACGCGUCUUUUGCAGCAUCUGCGUCCAUGGGGGCUGGGUUGAGGGAGGCUUAAAAGCAAGGCUGUUUAGUUCGAAUAAAGCUAUCUUUGACUGCAGUUUACUGACACCGCUACAACGUGUUUUUAUCGCUGGCUGUCCAGACGGAAGGUGCUGAAACGCUUUGUCGCGUGUCUGGAAGAAGUGAAAACUUUCCUGGGCAGCAAAGGGCUCACCUUUCCUGAGCUGGAACAGCCAGAGUGGCUGGAAAAGCUACACUUCAUGGUAGACAUGACAGCACACCUUCUUUUUCUUUUUCAAUCUUUUUAUUGAUUUUCACAUAUACACAAAAAAAAUAACAUAGUAAUAAGUAAAUUAUAAAUACAAUAAACUUGAAAUCACAUUAAUAAUAAGAUAAUAAUAUCCUACUAAACAUCAACAAAAGAAAAUACCUUAAUCAAGUCCACAUGAUUAUAUGAAAAAAAAACAAAAAUAACCAUUAAAAAAGAAAAAAAAUAUAUAAAAAAAAAAUGUGAGAAAAAAAAAUAUAUAUUAAAAAAAAUAAAACACUAAACUAAACUAACAUAGGCAAUAAUAACAGUUUACAAGUAUAAGAUAGUGUCAAAGAACUCCGGAACUCCAUACCUGAACAUGAAUAAGCAGAAAGGUCUGGAGAAGGCCAAAUUAAUUCAUAUGAAAAUGUCGAAUAAACGGUCUCCAAGUUUCUUCAAAUUUAAUUGAUGAGUCAAAAAUAGUGCUUCUAAUUUUUUCCAAACUCAGAUAAGAAAUAGUUUGAGAAAGCCAUUGAAAUGUAGUAGGAGGAUUUACUUCUUUCCAAUUUUGUAGUAUAGACCUUCUGGCCAUUAAUGUUACAAAAGCAAUCAUUCGUCUGAUUGAGGGGGAAAACUGAUUACCAUCUUCAUUUGGUAUGCCAAAAAUUGCAGUAAUAAAAUGAGGUUGUAAAUCUAUAUUCCAAAUUGAAGAAAUAGUAGUAAAUAUAUCCUUCCAAUAAUUAUGUAAAGUGGGACAUGACCAAAACAUAUGGGUCAAUGAGGCCACUGCUAAAUGACAUCUGUCACAUAGAGGGUUAAUAUGAGAAUAGAAUCGAGCAAGUUUAUCUUUAGACAUAUGAGCUCUAUGUACAAUUUUAAAUUGUAUUAAAGCAUGUUUAGCACAUAUAGAAGAAGACAUGACAGCACACCUGAACACGCUGAACACAGCUCUUCAGGGGAAAGGACGUACAGCCCUGCACAUGUUGGAGGAUGUUUUGGCAUUCGAGCGCAAGUUGACAGUGCUUGCCAGAGAUUUACAGAAAGGCACUUUGUCUCACUUCCCCAAUUUGAGAGAGUUCAAACAAGGUCACGACAUGAUAAUUUCGGAGUAUUUACAUUCUGCAAUCAUCGCAAUGCAAACAUCGUUUGGGAAACGCUUCUGUGAGUUCAGAGAGGAAAAAAAAAAACACAUUAUCCUUCCCGGUCACUCCCUUAAGCAUCGAUCCUUCCCUACUGAAUACGACUGCAUUGGCAGGUGUGAGUCAACCUGAUCUUGAGAUGGAACUGGCCGACAUAGCCGACAAAGACAUAUGGGUGUCCAAGUUUAGACGCUUGACAGCAGACCUUGAAGAUGUUGCCCGUCAGAAGGCCGUUCUUGCUCAGAAACACAAAUGGAGUGAUAUUGAAAACCUCACAGAUGACAGCUUGCGAUCCUGUGUAAAGAUGAAGGUGACAUCAUACAGCCCUGAUGUGCAGACGCUGUGCGCUGAGGUCCAGGAGCAGAAAUCCCAUUAACCAAGAUGACAGCUGGCUGACGUUAUUUUUGGUUUGCUGCUGGCGGAAAAUUUAAGUUCGGCGUUUUUCAUAAAUACAAGAAGGACUCAAAUAGACAUUGAAUAUUUUACUUAAAAGUAACUUUCAACCCAACGUCUUUUUUUCGGAGUUCAAAAUGUUUUUGUUGCAUGCAGAAAUGUAAUUUCGUUUUCUCUGCAGGAGUUCAUCAAUUUCAUAAAUGCAACACAUUAUAGUUUGUUUAUACAUAGCAUAAAGGCAAAAAAAACGUUG